UAACUUGCACACGGAUGUAGAAAUUGGUGAUUUUACAGAGGCGUUAGCUCAAGAAUUAUAGUAUGCAUUCGACACUCUGAAUAUGAUCUGAAUUUUGUUACAUCCCUGAAACAAGAAA
rnacentral:pre_miRNA from 1 species